CCCGCACAAGCGGUGGAGCAUGUGGUUUAAUUCGACGCAACGCGAAGAACCUUACCAGGUCUUGACAUCCCGAUGCUAUUUCUAGAGAUAGAAAGUUACUUCGGUACAUCGGUGACAGGUGGUGCAUGAUUGUCGUCAGCUCGUGUCGUGAGAUGUUGGGUUAAGUCCCGCAACGAGCGCAACCCCUAUUGUUAGUUGCCAUCAUUCAGUUGGGCACUCUAGCGAGACUGCCGGUAAUAAACCGGAGGAAGGUGGGGAUGACGUCAAAUCAUCAUGCCCCUUAUGACCUGGGCUACACACGUGCUACAAUGGUUGGUACAACGAGUUGCGAGUCGGUGACGGCGAGCUAAUCUCUUAAAGCCAAUCUCAGUUCGGAUUGUAGGCUGCAACUCGCCUACAUGAAGUCGGAAUCGCUAGUAAUCGCGGAUCAGCACGCCGCGGUGAAUACGUUCCCGGGCCUU
rnacentral:rRNA from 1 species